AGGUGCUGCAUGGCUGUCGUCAGCUCGUGCCGUGAGGUGUCAGGUUAAGUCCUAUAACGAGCGCAACCCCUGUUGUUAGUUACCAGCACGUAGUGGUGGGGACUCUAACAAGACUGCCGGUGCAAACCGUGAGGAAGGUGGGGAUGACGUCAAAUCAUCACGGCCCUUACGUCCAGGGCUACACACGUGCUACAAUGGCGCAUACAAAGGGCAGCUACAUGGUGACAUGAUGCUAAUCUCUAAAGUGCGUCUCAGUUCGGAUCGAAGUCUGCAACUCGACUUCGUGAAGCUGGAAUCGCUAGUAAUCGCGCAUCAGCCAUGGCGCGGUGAAUACGUUCCCGGGCCUUGUACACACCGCCCGUCAAGCCAUGGAAGCUGGGGGUGCCUGAAGUCGGUAACCGCAAGGAGCUGCCUAGGGCAA
rnacentral:rRNA from 15 species